UGCAUGUUUGUAUUUCUAAGAAAUGCCUUAGAUACAUCUAUAACCCUAUAUUACAUAUCAUAAUUACUCUUUAAAUCUGAAAAAGUGCAACCGAGAUAUAUACAUAAUUGGAUACUUCAGUCUCUCCAAACGACAGGACCAUGAGUAGCACACUACGCUGAAGUGAAGGGCACUUGCUUCUUCCUGCCCAUGAGCUGUACUGCUAAUGUCCUCCUUCCUCAGAUUCUUAUUACCCAAAUAGUACUUAUGUAAAAGUAACCAUUCUACAUGACUUUUUAAUUACUUUCAUUGGCACAUCACUGCAGCUACUGUGUUCUUUCUUAAGAAUGGGAGAAUCAGAUGUGUAUCUGCUUUCUGCUUUAGCAAGGAUUACAGUAGAUAAUGUAACAUGUUGAUGCAAAUUGACAUGCAUUUUUGAGCAAUACCUCUUUAAGUGUAAUUCUUAUUUUGCAUUUUCCCUGUGAGUAAACACCUAACAAGCGUACCUUUGCAACCAUGGACAACAUUCAAUGAAGAUGCUGAAAAUCUGGCUUCAACAUUGUCAGAGAGGUCUCACACACCAUUAGAAGUAAAGGUUUACAGAACAGUAGAUGUGUACAGAACACUAGGUACUAGAUUUGGCCCCAAGACAUUAGUUCAUCAGUGUUUAAAGAUUUAUACAGUAAAGUCUUAGUGUACUUAUGUGCUGAAGUCAUAACUCUGAGGAGAUAUUCAUCCUUCAGGUAACUAAGAGCCUCAAUUAACUGUGGCUCAGAAAAUAGGAUUUCAACUGUACUGAAGUGUGGAAGAGCUCCAGCAGAUCGAUUAAUCAAGCCCUGCAAUGAAGCUAAAAGCAUACCACAGACGUCUCCAAAUACAGACUCUCAGUGCCCUCAGGAAGGAUCUGGAGCCCUGGGAUUUUGGUCACUUCUGACUCAUCUGUUUUUGCCACUUCUCUGUCUGGACUCUACGUCCAUCAGGAUGCACAUUGUCUCCCUUCCACAUACUGUGGGAAGUUAAGAGCCCCAAGAGUCAUGCAAGUAGCAGACUUGAAAGACACUAUGGAAAUGACUGAAUCCAAACCUGACAUCUACAAGUACUAAGCCUAAAUCUCCCCAGCAUCUCCUUUAGGAAUCCCUGUGGAGCCUCCAAGAUUACUUCAUCUACCUCAUCUUCUUAAUUUCAAGUUCACACAGACAUCAGAGGCAGAAACAUCCUGGAAAGGAAGGGUAGAAGAGGAUAAAUCUCAGAAUUCUACUGACCACCUCAUCAUGCUCAACAAGAUCCUCAAGUAGACAACCAUGCCAACAGCUGGGAAAGGAGCUCCUCUAAGCAGUUGCCCAGUUUUUCCCACUAGUGCCCACCAAUUACCAUACCAUGGGUAUUAAUCAUGCUAUCACUGGCUUGCAAAGUAUGUAAUCAGCAGUGGAAAGAUAUUGUAUGCACAAAUAAAUU